UCUAACACUCACCGCAGCCCACGCUUCCACUGUAUAGUUUUAUUCACUGUGUCAUAUUUAUUAUUCACCUUCAAGCUAAUAAUUAAACCGCCUCUCAGCUCAAAACACACAUGCAGACCUUUGAGGACGACGUGUAACGAGACGUCUAACACUCACCGCAGCCCACGCUUCCACUGUAUAGUUUUAUUCACUGUGUCAUAUUUAUUAUUCACCUUCAAGCUAAUAAUUAAACCGCCUCUCAGCUCACAACACACAACCACUACAGCUCAGUGUGUUCACGUCAUUCACAUCAGUUACCGCAAUGACAAGAGUCCCACUGAGAAAUGUGCUCACAUCCUUGAAAUAAAGUCAAAUGCAGUAAAAUGUAGUUUUUUUUGUAUUUUUUGUUUUUAAAUAUAAUGAUUAGAACUGUCUAUUGUUAAUGUCAUGAUGCAAGAAUAAUCUAAAACCAAUGAAAACAUACAAUAGUUUAAUACUAGCUCACAGAGCCAAAUAAAUAAACUAUAGUAACGUGAAAGUGAAAAGUGAAAACAAACCCAAAUAAAAAAUACAUUUAAUAAUAAUGCAUUUGCAUAAUGACUUACAGUAAAAUUGCAUUUGUUAAAUUAGUUUACUUCAUUAGCUAAUAUGAACUAACACUGAAAAAUACUUCUAAAGCAUUUAUUAAUUUCACAAAUCAAAAUAUGAUUUUCUUCCUGCAUAUUUUAUUAGUUUAGUUAAUAUUAAUUUUUAUAAAAAUCAGAAGUUGAAUCUGUUACUAUUAUUUAAUGGAGCUGAGCAAACAUAAACAUACAAUGAACAGCUGUAUUUUUAUUAACUAACAUUAAAGAUUAAUAAAUAAUGUAACUGAAGAGAUUAAUAAAUAAUGUAACUGAAGUAUUUCUCAUUGUUAGUUAGUUAAUAUUUGUUCAUGCAUAAACCAUCAAUCACUGAAAGGACUUUAUUGUAAAACGUCACCAGGGUCUUUUAUGUGCUGCAAUCUGGUUUCAUAUAUUGUUUACUCAGAUUGCACUGAUUAAUUUAGAUGCUUGUAGUCUUUCCAGAGAAACACAUAAUUGCAAUGACGUGAAAGUUCCAGGUUGCCGGUUAGUAGUUACGGUAAUUACGACGUGGAUGAAUGCAGUGAGUGCGUCUGAGCGAGUGUGUGCACGUGUAAACAAAUUUGAGUGCAUGUGAGAGCUUGUGUGCGAGUGUGUAUGCACAGGUAUAGUGCAAGUGUGUAUGUGUGUGAGCUUGUGUGGAUGCGCACGUGUGUGUGUGUGUGUGUGUGUGUGUGUGUGUGAUGUGCGAGUUGUUCACUCUCGUCCUUUUUAUUAGACAAAAUAAAAUACAAGAUACUGUGCAGAUAAUGAUAACUAUGUGAUAAUGAGCAGUGAUAUAUUAACACUGA
rnacentral:lncRNA from 1 species